rnacentral:rRNA from 1 species
UACAGAGGUCUCAAGCGUUGUUCGGAUUCAUUGGGCGUAAAGGGUGCGUAGGUGGCGCGGUAAGUCGGGUGUGAAAUUUCGGAGCUUAACUCCGAAACUGCAUUUGAUACUGGCGUGCUUGAGGACUGGAGAGGAGACUGGAAUUCACGGUGUAGCAGUGAAAUGCGUAGAUAUCGUAAGGAAGGCCGGUGGCGAAAGCGAGCCUCUGGACAGUUACUGACGCUGAUGCACGAAGGCCAGGGGAGCAAACGGG